rnacentral:lncRNA from 1 species
GUGACAACAGACACUUGCAACAGACACAUGCAGCGGCCGGUUGGAGUCCCAGAAGUUGAGCCGGACGCUAAUUGUAUCAACAGGUCUCGGACUGUGAUGUGGAACUGAGGCGGGAGUGAAGCUGAGAAUUACAACAGGUGGUGGCAGGGUGGUGGAAUUCGAUCUGGAAAAUUCAAAUCACUGACAACAUUGGGACAUGUUAGAAGUGGCUCAGGAGUCGCACGUCUGUCAGUCUUCCCCUUAUGUGCCAGGGCGGGUGCACCGUGCUGCGGACCGAUUGUUGCGCUGUCUUUGUGUGGGUGAAGUCGAGCGGCUCCUUAUGCAAAAUGAAUGUCCUGCUGUAAUUCUAACCCUCUUCUGCCGGCCCUCACCCUCGCCACGCCACCCAUCCUCUCCCUCCCUGUCAUCAGCAGCAGAGGCCGGUGAUUCUGCACUGCUGUCUGACAGGCGCUCUGAAAACGGAACAACUCUGAAAUGACAUUUUUGCUGAUGUCUCAGCUCAAACCUAAGGCCCUACAGCUGUGAUGAUGAUACUGUGAACGACGUAUCCUCUAAUACCUGCUGACUGAAAUACUGGGGUGAGGCUGAGACUCACAUUUGAGUUUGGCUAAGAGAGAAGAGCGGUCAUUUGGUGGUCUGUAUGUGAGCAAGUAAGUGUGUGUGUGAGAGACUACUCUGACAUCUGUGAGCUGUUUGCUCUCAUUUCCUGUAGACUCUAGACAUCUUGGCGACAACAGCAGACAUCAAUGUUGCACUGAUUUGAAGUUGGUGAUAUGGUAAUCAAGAGAAAGCUACAUUCUGUCAAGCAUCUCUGAUGCCAUAAGGUUUGUGUUCUUUCUUCACACGUGUUUUCGUAGGACUGUGUGUAAGUAUAUGUGAUUUGUGGUGAUCAGUGGGUGUGUUUGGUGUGUUCUUAGGUGUCUAAGGGAGGUUUAGUGUGCGUGUGUGCGUGUGUGUUUGUGUGUGUGUGUGAUGAGCUAGAUAGAUUUUCUUUCACAUGUGUGUGUGCUCUGCAGUAUGCUCUAUGAGGUUGAAGUGCUUAUGUCUGUAUUGUUUGAGCCUCCACACUGUAUCUUCCCUCAGAGGAAACAUGAAUAAAAUAUUAGUGCAAGAAUGUGUUUGGACA